rnacentral:rRNA from 1 species
GACGAGGGAUCCUAGCGUUGUUCGGAAUCAUUGGGCGUAAAGCGUGUGUAGGCUGCUCUACAAGUCAGUUGUGAAAGCCCCGGGCUUAACCCGGGAAGUGCUUCUGAUACUGUUGAGCUUGAGUACUGGAGAGGAUAGUGGAAUUCCUGGUGUAGUGGUGAAAUACGUAGAUAUCAGGAGGAACACCGGUGGCGAAGGCGGCUAUCUGGCCAUGUACUGACGCUGAGACACGAAAGCGUGGGGAGCAAACAGG